rnacentral:rRNA from 1 species
UGAACGCUGGCGGCAGGCCUAACACAUGCAAGUCGAACGGUAACAGGAAGCAGCUUGCUGCUUCGCUGACGAGUGGCGGACGGGUGAGUAAUGUCUGGGAAACUGCCUGAUGGAGGGGGAUAACUACUGGAAACGGUAGCUAAUACCGCAUAACGUCGCAAGACCAAAGAGGGGGACCUUAGGGCCUCUUGCCAUCGGAUGUGCCCAGAUGGGAUUAGCUAGUAGGUGGGGUAACGGCUCACCUAGGCGACGAUCCCUAGCUGGUCUGAGAGGAUGACCAGCCACACUGGAACUGAGACACGGUCCAGACUCCUACGGGAGGCAGCAGUGGGGAAUAUUGCACAAUGGGCGCAAGCCUGAUGCAGCCAUGCCGCGUGUAUGAAGAAGGCCUUCGGGUUGUAAAGUACUUUCAGCGGGGAGGAAGGGAGUAAAGUUAAUACCUUUGCUCAUUGACGUUACCCGCAGAAGAAGCACCGGCUAACUCCGUGCCAGCAGCCGCGGUGAUACGGAGGGUGCAAGCGUUAAUCGGAAUUACUGGGCGUAAAGCGCACGCAGGCGGUUUGUUAAGUCAGAUGUGAAAUCCCCGGGCUCAACCUGGGAACUGCAUCUGAUACUGGCAAGCUUGAGUCUCGUAGAGGGGGGUAGAAUUCCAGUGUAGCGGUGAAAUGCGUAGAGAUCUGGAGGAAUACCGGUGGCGAAAGCGGCCCCCUGGACGAAGACUGACGCUCAGGUGCGAAAGCGUGGGGAGCAAACAGGAUUAGAUACCCUGGUAGUCCACGCCGUAAACGAUGUCGACUUGGAGGUUGUGCCCCUGAGGCGUGGCUUCCGGAGCUAACGCGUUAAGUCGACCGCCUGGGGAGUACGGCCGCAAGGUUAAAACUCAAAUGAAUUGACGGGGGCCCGCACAAGCGGUGGAGCAUGUGGUUUAAUUCGAUGCAACGCGAAGAACCUUACCUGGUCUUGACAUCCACGGAAGUUUUCAGAGAUGAGAAUGUGCCUUCGGGAACCGUGAGACAGGUGCUGCAUGGCUGUCGUCAGCUCGUGUUGUGAAAUGUUGGGUUAAGUCCCGCAACGAGCGCAACCCUUAUCCUUUGUUGCCAGCGGUCCGGCCGGGAACUCAAAGGAGACUGCCAGUGAUAAACUGGAGGAAGGUGGGGAUGACGUCAAGUCAUCAUGGCCCUUACGACCAGGGCUACACACGUGCUACAAUGGCGCAUACAAAGAGAAGCGACCUCGCGAGAGCAAGCGGACCUCAUAAAGUGCGUCGUAGUCCGGAUUGGAGUCUGCAACUCGACUCCAUGAAGUCGGAAUCGCUAGUAAUCGUGGAUCAGAAUGCCACGGUGAAUACGUUCCCGGGCCUUGUACACACCGCCCGUCACACCAUGGGAGUGGGUUGCAAAAGAAGUAGGUAGCUUAACCUUCGGGAGGGCGCUUACCACUUUGUGAUUCAUGACUGGGGUGA